GUUGCCAGCGGUCCGGCCGGGAACUCAAAGGAGACUGCCAGUGAUAAACUGGAGGAAGGUGGGGAUGACGUCAAGUCAUCAUGGCCCUUACGACCAGGGCUACACACGUGCUACAAUGGCGCAUACAAAGAGAAGCGACCUCGCGAGAGCAAGCGGACCUCAUAAAGUGCGUCGUAGUCCGGAUUGGAGUCUGCAACUCGACUCCAUGAAGUCGGAAUCGCUAGUAAUCGUGGAUCAGAAUGCCACGGUGAAUACGUUCCCGGGCCUU
rnacentral:rRNA from 1 species